rnacentral:rRNA from 1 species
UUACCAGACUCCUACGGGAGGCAGCAGUGGGGAAUAUUGCACAAUGGGGGAAACCCUGAUGCAGCGACGCCGCGUGAGGGAAGAAGGUUUUCGGAUUGUAAACCUCUGUCCUUGGUGACGAAAGAAGACGGUAGCCAAGGAGGAAGCCACGGCUAAAUACGUGCCAGCAGCCGCGGUAAUACGUAUGGAGCAAGCGUUAUCCGGAUUUACUGGGUGUAAAGGGAGCGCAGGCGGCCUUGCAAGUCUGAUGUGAAAGGCCGGGGCCCAACCCCGGGACUGCAUUGGAAACUGCGAGGCUGGAGUGUCGGAGAGGCAGGCGGAAUUCCUAGUGUAGCGGUGAAAUGCGUAGAUAUUAGGAGGAACACCAGUGGCGAAGGCGGCCUGCUGGACGAUGACUGACGCUGAGGCUCGAAAGCGUGGGGAGCAAACAGGAUUAGAUACCCCAGUA